GACGAACGCUGGCGGCGUGCUUAACACAUGCAAGUCGAACGGAAAGGCCCCUUUGGGGGUACUCGAGUGGCGCACGGGUGAGUAACACGUGAGUAACCUGCCCUUGACUUCGGGAUAACUUCAGGAAACUGGGGCUAAUACCGGAUAGGAAUCCUUGCUGCAUGGUGGGGGUUGGAAAGCUUCGGCGGUUUUGGAUGGACUCGCGGCUUAUCAGCUUGUUGGUGGGGUAGUGGCUUACCAAGGCUUUGACGGGUAGCCGGCCUGAGAGGGCGACCGGCCAAUUGGGGCCGGGGUAAGGGCCAGGACCCCAAGGGGGGCAAGAAGGGGGAAUAUUGCACAAUGGGCGGAAGCCUGAUGCAGCAACGCCGCGUGCGGGAUGACGGCCUUCGGGUUGUAAACCGCUUUCAGCAGGGGCGAAGCUUGUGGUGACGGUACCUGCAGAAGAAGCACCGGCUAACUACGUG
rnacentral:rRNA from 1 species